UUCAUUCAACAUGUUGUCUUUGGACUGUUAUGGACUUUCUUUACUGAUUAUCAUGAGUCUGACAGGUGUCAGCUGUGAUGAACUGACUCCAAACAACAAAGAAGUGAUCAGUGUAGAAGGCAGCGCUGUUACUCUGUCCUACAAAUACUCCAAAGCUGCUGAUGGCAGAGAUUCCUUCUUCUGGUAUCGACAAUAUCCAGGAAAACCACCGGAGUUCCUGAUCUCUCACACAGGGACAGGAGAGAAAAUAUUAGCUCCAGUCCCAGAACUGUCUUUUCACGUGAGUGAUGAUAAAACAGGAAUGGAUCUGCAGAUCUCCUCUGCUGCAGUGACAGACUCUGCUGUGUACUACUGUGUUCUUUGA